rnacentral:rRNA from 1 species
GACAGAGGGUGCAAACGUUGUUCGGAAUUACUGGGCGUAAAGGGCUCGUAGGCGGCCAACUAAGUCAUACGUGAAAUCCCCCGGCUUAACCGGGGAACUGCGUCUGAUACUGGAUGGCUUGAGUUCGGGAGAGGGAUGCGGAAUUCCAGGUGUAGCGGUGAAAUGCGUAGAUAUCUGAAGGAACACCGGUGGCGAAGGCGGCAUCCUGGACCGAUACUGACGCUGAGGAGCGAAAGCCAGGGGAGCAAACGGG